GCGGCCUGGGCGCUUCGCUUGGCAAGCGCGGCGGCGUCGGGCGGCGUCCCCGGAGGCCUUUAGGACAGGAUCUCGCUCUGUCGCCCAGGCUGGAGUGCUGUGGCUCAGUCUCGGCUCACUGCAGCCUGAACCUCCCCGACUGAAGCGAUUCUCCCACCUCAGCCUCCCGAGUUAGCUGGGACCACAGGCGCGUGCCACCACACCUGGCUAAAUUAAAAAAAAAAUUUUAGUAGAGACAGGGUUUCACCAUUUUGUCCGGGCUGGUCUCUAACUCCUGGCCUCAGGCGAUCCACCCAUCACAACCUCCCAAAAUGCUGGGAUUACAGAUGUGAGUCACUGCCCCGGCCUAAACAAUUUUAUUUUGAUAAAGGUAUGCAUAGACAUGAUAGAAAAUACGAAACCAAGUGCAGUGGCUCACGCUUGUAAUCCCAGCUACUCCAGAGGCCCAGGCGGGAGGACCGCUUGAGGCUAGGAUUUCGAGGUCAGCCUCAGAAACAUAGUAGUUGCCAGCAAACGAACAGUACAUAGAAAAAGUAGGCUGGGCGCAGCGACUCAGGCCUGCGAUCCCAGCACUUUGGGAGGCCGAGACCAGGUGGAUCGCUUGAGUCCAGGAGUUGGAGACCAGCCUGGGCAACAUGGCGAAACCCCAUCUCUACAAAAAAUACAAAAUUUGGCUAGGCACGGUGGCUCACGCCUGUAAUCCCAACACUUUGGGAGGCUGAGGCAGGUGGAUUACCUGAGGUCAAGAGUUGGAGACCAGCCUGGCCAACGUGGUAAAACCCUGUUUCUACUAAAAAUACAAAAAUUAGCCAGGUGUGGUGGCAGGUGCCUGUAAUCCUGGCUACUUGGGAGGCUAAGGCAGGAGAAUCACUUGAGCCUGGAGGCAGAGGUUGCAGUGAGCCGAGAUGGUGCCACUGCACUCCAGCCUGGGUGACAGAGUGAGACUCCAUCUCAAAAAAUAGAUUAAUUGAUUAAAAUUAAAAUCAGGUGCACUCCCCAGCAGGUCCCCUCCAGCAAUGGAUGGAUAGUUAAUGUUGUUUACAACAUUUCUUCUAUUCUGUCUUGCCCAACAACUUUGCCCAUCUUGAAGGUCAUACAAGGAAUGAUAAAGGGAUGAUAAUCAUGUUUGGAGAGGGCACAACCCUGAGAGAGGUAACUGGGGUAUGAGAAGCAAUGCUCUGGUGGCGCAUGCCUAUAAUCCCAGCUACUCGGGAGGCUGAGGCAGGAGAAUUACUUGACCCUGGGGGGCGGAGGUUGCAGUGAGCUGAUAACACGCCUCUGAACUCCAGCCUGGGGAACAGAACAAGACUCUGUCUCAAAAAACAAAACGAAACAAAACAAAACAAAACACAAAAAAACCAGAGAAGCAAUGCUCAAUAUUCAACCAUUUCUUUAAAAAAAGAAGGGAAAAAAAAAUCAUGUGUGUCUUAUUGUCUAGUACUGUAUUGUCUGGUAUUGCCUAGUACUUCUAGGGGUUGGAAAAAUAUUAACAUUUAAUCUUCACAACUAGUAGGUGAGGUGGGCAUUGUCCCCACUUUCUUAGGUAACAAAAGAGACACACUGCUAAAAAGCAGGGAGGGAAACCCAGGUGUUCUGGCCCCACCCAGAGGACACUCUGCUGUGCUCCACACUGCCUCUCAUUGGGGGCUGGGAUAGAGAGGAAGACAGGUGUGCAGGCCUGGUCCUGUUCUGAGGACUCUGCUGAACCGGAUCCUAUGAGGUUAUUUUGUAAAAUCUAAUACAUGACUUGUAAACUGGACACGAACAAGAAUUUGUGAUAUAGCCUCUUUACCAGGAUUGAAGAAGACAGAAAGAAAAAAAUCUUGGACAAAUUAAUUGCAGGAAGAAAUGAUCAAAUUUUGGCUUACAUAUUUUGCAACAGUGGUAUAACACAAAGAAGUAAGCAAAUAUGGCAGAAGUGUGGUGGCUUUGGCGUCUACUUUUGACCAUAGUGGUGGCCCUGUUAUUCGUGGCUCCCGGGGUUCCUACACAUCCUUCCUGAUGGAAGAAGGCGUUGGCCAAAAAGGUCAGCCAGCUGAUGGAUUGGACCAAGAAAGACAGAGUGAUAAGAAUGAGUGACACCAUGUUCUAUCAUUUUGUAUUAGAUGCACCAAAAAACUAUUCUGUUAUUGUGAUGCUUACUGCUCUCCACGAGUUCAGUUCAUGUGUCAUGUGCAAAGGUGCUGCUGAGGAAUUUCAGAUCUUGGCAAAUUCCUAUCAACGCCCUGGUGCAUUCACCACAAAGGUAUUUUUUGCAAUGGUGGAUUAUGAUGAAAGCCCUGAGGUCUUUGAAGCACUCCAGGUAACGUCAGUUCCGACUUUCUUCCACUUUUCUGCCCAAUGGAAAUUUGCAACAGAUGACAUUUAUAAUUUGAGAGGAAGGGAUAUUGUUGCUGACCAAAUGGCUGAAUGGGUAGCAGAAAGAACACAUGUCAGUGUCAGAAUCAGACAGCCUGCAAAUUAUCAUGGUCUCCUCAAGCCAGGGAUACUUCUGGCUCUCAUUGGUGGACUUGGGUAUUUCUUGAAAUGGAAUAGGAAAUCUAUUUCUUGCAGAAUUUUGUGCGAAGUUUUAACUCUGUGCUUUGUGAUUGUGAUGACGUCUGGUCAAAUGUGGACUUAUAUAAGAGGAGAACCAUAUGUCCAGAGGGACCCUCACACAGGACAUAAACAUUACAUCAGUAAAUUUAGUCAGGCUCAGUUUGCAGCAGAAACAUUCAUUAUUUCCCUGUUUAAUAUGUGUGUUAGUCUGGGAGUGGUGCUGUUAGACAAGGCUGCCACCUCUACGAUGAACAUCAUAAAGAGAAAGAUGAUGUGUCUGGCUGGUAUGUGUCUUGUUGCCAUAUUCUUCAGUUGGCUGUUUUCCCUCUUUAGAUUUAAAGUACCUGACUAUCCAUACAGCUUUGUCUGGGUUUAAAAAGGAUCCUACAGACAUAGACAAUGAAGCAAGAAAUUUGAAAAAAAAAUGUGAAGCAGAAAAAUCCAAACUCAUAGCUUUUUAAAGUAAUUGAGAUUUCACCAAAAGAGACCAUAAGUGCUUUAAGUGCUUUCAAAAUCUGUCAAGUAUUAUGGUAUGUAUCUUCUCUGUUCUUAAUUUUUCUCCCCGAGUGUUAUAGAUUACCUCAAGUCCAAUUAUUAAAAUCUUUAGAGAGUACAA